AUUCAACAAAUUAACACCAAAUUCAACAAAUUAACACCAAAUUCAACCGUGUUCAAUAAUUCAACAAUAAUUCAACCAAAUUCAAUAAUUUAAAACCAAAUUCAAUAAUUCAACAAAAUAUCAACCACAUUCAACAAAUUAACACCAAAUUUAACAAAGUAACACCAAAUUCUACCGUAUUCAAUACUUCAACAAAACAUCAACCAAAUUGAAUAAUUCAACAUCAAAUACAACCAAAUUCAACAUAAAAUCAACCAAAUUGAAUAAUUCAACACCAAAUUCAACCAAAUUCAACAAAAUCAUUUCAACCCAUGAACCCUAACUCUUAUACCCAACUAAAAUAUAUCAAUAGUAAUCGAAAGUAAGGGUAGAAAGUUACCUAACAACACUUCAAAUUGGAAUGGGAGAGCUAAAUGUCAGAUUAUGGUUCGAUUUUUGCUGGUUGGGAAGAAUGGGGCGACGAUGGAGUUCGCGUUUUGUGAGAGGAGAAGCAGCCUGGCCCGAUUUUGUAUCCAAGGGAGACACGCAUUAGCGUCUCGCGUGUAUGUUUAAAGACGCGAUAGGAAGACGCGUGUAUUCCUUUAAACGACGCGAGAGGAAGACGCGUGUAUUCCUUUAAACGACGCGAGAGGAAGACGCGUGUAUUCCUUUAAACACGCGAGAGCCUGAUGCGUCUAUACUUUUUAAACACGCGAGAGCGUCAUGCGUGUUUAGUUAAAACACGCGAGAACGUCUCGCGUCUUUCCCCUCUAUGGAAACUUGUUUUUUCCGGGUACAAAUGGCGGAUAUAAUUACCUAUGAUGUAGUUUCUUGGAAUUUUGUCUAUAUACAUCUCUGGUUCGUUCGAUGUUUGUUUGUAACUGAGGGCUUGUUAUUACUCUAUGGCUGAGGGAUUUAUCUUGUGAUUCUUCCUGUGAGUGUUGAGCUUUAAACUAUGGAAGUCGUUACUGUUAUGCUAUUGGCCUUUAGGAUUAUAUGCUCUAGUCGAGUUGUUGAGUUUGAUUAGAGAAGCAGCUAUGUUCUUGUUCCUUGGUUACAUUUUACAUACGGCUCUAAACUUCCUCACAUUCGUUCCUUCCUAUUGGUUUGUUUAGAAUUAAACAUGCUGAUUGUGGUUUCUACAUGAUGUUGUAGUUCAUGCUUGAGUGUGGGGGAAAAGAAAGGAGGAAUGGAGGUUACCUUCUGUGACCAGUUCUGGCUGCUAUUCCUAACUCGGCUCUUCCUCCCUCCCUUUAACUUGUUCCUUGCUAAUGAUUUGGGGUGCUGAGGGAGAAUGAGGCUGAGUGAUUAUCCCUUAUAUAGAGAGGAAGUGUAACUGAAAGCCUGUAAGGCUAUGGUGUGUGCAGUCACUGGCCCUUAGGCUGCACAAAGCGGCUGAUCUGUCUGUGGUGUUGCAGUGCGAGUACUCUGGCCCUCCAGCUCUUUUCUAACCGAUUUUGGUGGCAUAUGGGGGUGCACCAUAAUUGAUUGAUUCUCCAUAGCAAAUAGCAGGUAUGAAUGGAGUACGAGCUGCAGGGAUUCAGCCUUGCAGAGUGUAGCUCCUCUGCCCAGCUCUGCAGAGGAUGAAAUCCUGUUGGCUGAACUUGCUCCUCUGCCCAGCUCUCACUCACUUUUCGGAAAGGGACAAGAGGCUGACUCUCCCCGACUGCUGUCUCGUCGACUUGGCCCAACGGGCCUUCGGGAAUCUGGGCUAAAACUAAGCCAAGGAGGAGGCCCAAAACUAGUUAAUCUUCUCUUCCUAUUUUGUAAUAGUGUAGUUCGACUUUAAAUUUUCUAUCUUCGUUCCAACUAGUGGCGGAGGGAGUAGGGACAAAGGGGGUACGAGUGUACCCCCAAAAAAAUAAUUUUUUUUUAGUAGUAUAUAUUUAAAUACAAAUUCUGAGUUUAUAUUAAUAAUAUAUGUAUAAUGUCCCCCUAUUUGGCUACUCCAAAAA